rnacentral:rRNA from 1 species
GACGAACGCUGGCGGCGUGCCUAAUACAUGCAAGUAGAACGCUGAAGAGAGGAGCUUGCUCUUCUUGGAUGAGUUGCGAACGGGUGAGUAACGCGUAGGUAACCUGCCUGGUAGCGGGGGAUAACUAUUGGAAACGAUAGCUAAUACCGCAUAAAAUGGAUUAUCGCAUGAUAAUCCAUUGAAAGGUGCAAAUGCAUCACUACCAGAUGGACCUGCGUUGUAUUAGCUAGUUGGUGGGGUAACGGCUCACCAAGGCGACGAUACAUAGCCGACCUGAGAGGGUGGUCGGCCACACUGGGACUGAGACACGGCCCAGACUCCUACGGGAGGCAGCAGUAGGGAAUCUUCGGCAAUGGACGGAAGUCUGACCGAGCAACGCCGCGUGAGUGAAGAAGGGUUUCGGAUCGUAAAGCUCUGUUGUAAGAGAAGAACGAGUGUGAGAGUGGAAAGUUCACACUGUGACGGUAUCUUACCAGAAAGGGACGGCUAACUACGUG